AACGAACGCUGGCGGCGCGCCUAAUACAUGCAAGUCGAGCGAGAAGGUGUAGCAAUACACUUGUAAAGCGGCGAACGGGUGAGGAAUGCAUGGGUAACCUACCCUCGAGUGGGGAAUAACUAGCCGAAAGGUUAGCUAAUACCGCAUACGUUUCCGGAACUUCGGUUUCGGAAAGAAAGCAAUACCGUGGGUAUUGCGCUCCUGGAUGGGCUCAUGUCCUAUCAGCUUGUUGGUGAGGUAACGGCUCACCAAGGCUUCGACGGGUAGCUGGUCUGAGAGGACGAUCAGCCACACUGGCACUGCGACACGGGCCAGACUCCUACGGGAGGCAGCAGUAAGGAAUAUUGCGCAAUGGACGAAAGUCUGACGCAGCGACGCUGCGUGGGGGAUGAAGGUCUUCGGAUUGUAAACCCCUUUCGGGAGGGAAGAUGGAGUGGGUAACCACUUGGACGGUACCUCCAGAAGCAGCCACGGCUAACUUCGUGCCAGCAGCCGCGGUAA
rnacentral:rRNA from 1 species